UAUAGUUCCUUGAAAGUAGCUGAUACCUGAAUGAUUUGACCCUUUUCAUUGAUUGAAUGCUUAGUAACUUCUGCCAGAAUGUGUGUGUGUGUGUGUGUGUGUGUGUACACACACACACACACACGCAUGCAUGCAUGUGUGUGCAUGCAUGU